UACGGAGGGUGCGAGCGUUAAUCGGAAUUACUGGGCGUAAAGCGCGCGUAGGCGGUUUGUUAAGUCGGAUGUGAAAGCCCCGGGCUCAACCUGGGAACUGCACCCGAUACUGGCCGACUUGAGUGCGAGAGAGGGAGGUAGAAUUCCAUGUGUAGCGGUGAAAUGCGUAGAUAUAUGGAGGAAUACCGGUGGCGAAGGCGGCCUCCUGGCUCGACACUGACGCUGAGGUGCGAAAGCGUGGGUAGCAAACAGC
rnacentral:rRNA from 1 species